CUGGCUACUAUACCCUUAGAUUACGAACGCCUUCAUACUCAUAAAUUAUUUUCGAUGAUAGAGCUUCCGAAUCGACGAUCCACACCGUUAAACAUUAUCUAGAGCAUUUAAAAUGCCUAGAAAUCAAAUUUUAUAAUUUUUCGACAUCAUUUAUUAUGAUCAAAAGGUCAUAAAAUUGACAAUUUUUAACGGCUGGUAUGGAAUAUUUGCUAGUUUAAUGGGGUAAAAGAAUCAGAAUCGGUUAAAUUUUUGAUAGAAAAUUCUAUUUACUACAUAGAUAAAGAUCAAUAACUCCGAUUUUAUUGAAGGAUCCAAUCAUCCAUUUUUAAGACAUCGUUCGAUUUUGACCGUUCAUUUUAUACCCGCUUGAUGAACUUUAUUAUGAUUUCAAAAAAUUACAGAAUUUAUUUUCUAAAAGUUUCAAAUACUUUAAAUCAUAUUUAACGGAAUAGAUCGUCGAUUCAGAAGCUCUAUUAUUGAAAACAACUUAUGAGUACGAAGGGCUCUAUACUCAUAAGAGUAUAGUAGCCCUACUCUCUCUCUCUCUCUCUCUCUCUCUCUCUCUCUCUCUCUAUAUAUAUAUAUAGAGUCCGGCUACUAUACUAUUAUGAGUACGAUCGCCCUCGUACUCAUAUAGUUGUUUUCGAUGAUAGAGCUUCCGAAUCGACGAUCCACAUCGUUAAACGUUAUCUAGAGCAUUUGAAACAUCUAGAAAUCAAAUUUCAUAAUUUUUCGAAAUCAUUUACCUUACGAUCAAAAGCUCACAAAAUUGAUAAUUUUUAACGGCCGGUAUGGAAUACUUGCUAGUUUAACGGUGCAAAAGAAUCCGAAUAGGUUGAAUUUUUGAUAGAAAAUUCUAUUCACUUCCUAGAUAAAGAUCAAUAACUCCGAUCUUAAAUUGAAGGAUCCGAUCAUCCAUUUUUAAGACAUCGUUCGAUUUUGACUGUUCAUUUUAUGCCCACUUGAUGGACUUUAUUAUGAUUUCGAAAAAUUACGAAAUUUAUUUUCUAGAAGUCUCAAAUACUCUAGA
rnacentral:lncRNA from 1 species